GUCCCGUUCGUCUAGGGGUCAGGACACCGGCCUUUCACGCCGGCAACACGGGUUCGAUUCCCGUACGGGACGCCA
rnacentral:tRNA from 1 species